UCUGAGCGGUGUUCUGGUGGGACCGUCACCGCGCCGCUGUCAGAGGUUCUCUCCGUGCUGCCCCUCACUGACUGACUGUAUCUCUCUGAACGUUGGAAGAACGAUUUUUGACUGAAAUUCAGACUAUCAUCAAUGUAUCUUCAUGUUCCAGUAUAGCACGGCGACUCCUUCCAGCAGCGGUUGCAUCAACAACAAAAUUUACCAUCCCAAUAUUGGAGAAGUGAUCUGGGCUUCAAAGACUGUGGUUCAUCUUCUAAGACCAUGACUGUGAAGGAUGAACUCAGCAGGUGUGUCAUCCGGGAGAAGAGCAGUUACAGUUAAAUGAGGACAUAGUGUCCAAAUUUCAUGUGUCUAUUGAUGUCUCCAGAGAACUUCAUGAGCGAUGACUGUGUUAUUAUGUGCACAACCAAAGGACUUCAAAGUAUUUCAACAGAGACUUGAACAACUGCAGCCUUGGUUACACACCCAUCAUUAUGAACUGAAACCCGAUGAAUAUUCUGGAAAUAAAGCAUGUUCUGUCACCUGA